ensembl:snoRNA LOC120102747 small nucleolar RNA U89
CCGGUUGAUGAGACUAAGGCGAAUGCGACUUGGCCUACUGACUCUUGGCUUGGGGGUGGUGGGAGGACAGGACAACUAGUGAGAUCUGGAAUCUUGGCAGGGGCGCCAGAGGCCUGACUCCCUGCUGUAAGGCCAGAUCAAUAGCACUGCUGGCCUCACCUCUGUCAGCUGCCACCACAGCGCUGGCAGCAUCCUGUAGGGAGGCCCACAGGAGGAGCCAAAGUGUGAGUAGCCAUGUGAGCGCAGACCUCGAAUCUGACA